UAUGUUCGUUUCGUCGCCGCUGCCGCAAGUGA
rnacentral:sRNA from 1 species